rnacentral:hammerhead_ribozyme from 1 species
AUCCAGUGACGAGUCCCAAAUAGGACGAAAUACGCCUUAUCCUGGAU